rnacentral:rRNA from 1 species
CUUGCUUCUCUUGAGAGCGGCGGACGGGUGAGUAAUGCCUAGGAAUCUGCCUGGUAGUGGGGGAUAACGUCCGGAAACGGACGCUAAUACCGCAUACGUCCUACGGGAGAAAGCAGGGGACCUUCGGGCCUUGCGCUAUCAGAUGAGCCUAGGUCGGAUUAGCUAGUUGGUGGGGUAAUGGCUCACCAAGGCGACGAUCCGUAACUGGUCUGAGAGGAUGAUCAGUCACACUGGAACUGAGACACGGUCCAGACUCCUACGGGAGGCAGCAGUGGGGAAUAUUGGACAAUGGGCGAAAGCCUGAUCCAGCCAUGCCGCGUGUGUGAAGAAGGUCUUCGGAUUGUAAAGCACUUUAAGUUGGGAGGAAGGGCAGUAAAUUAAUACUUUGCUGUUUUGACGUUACCGACAGAAUAAGCACCGGCUAACUCUGUGCCAGCAGCCGCGGUAAUACAGAGGGUGCAAGCGUUAAUCGGAAUUACUGGGCGUAAAGCGCGCGUAGGUGGUUCGUUAAGUUGGAUGUGAAAUCCCCGGGCUCAACCUGGGAACUGCAUUCAAAACUGACGAGCUAGAGUAUGGUAGAGGGUGGUGGAAAUUUCCUGUGUAGCGGUGAAAUGCGUAGAUAUAGGAAGGAACACCAGUGGCGAAAGCGACCCACCUGGACUGAUACUGACACUGAGGUGCGAAAGCGUGGGGAGCAAACAGGAUUAGAUACCCUGAUAGUCCACGCUGUAAACGAUGUCAACUAGCCAGUUGGGAAGCCUUUGAGCUUCUUA